rnacentral:lncRNA from 1 species
GAGAGAUCUCCCUUCAUCUACUGCUCCCAUAUCUGCCCCAAGGACCCAGCCUGGGAAGUGACUCACCUGGGAGCCUGGUGUUUCCCUUCUCCCCUUGUCUUAGUCAGGGCUGCUGUAACGAAUCACCAUGGACUGGGUGCCUUACACAACUAACAUUUCUCUCCCACAGUUCUGGAGGCUGGGAGGUUCCAGAUGAGGUGCCUGCAGCUUCAGUUCUUGGUGAGGGGUCCCUCCUGGCUUGCAGAUGGCUGCCUUCUCACGUGUGCUCUUGUGACCUCUUCUUUGCGUGCUGAGGAGAGAGCGCCUGUUCUCCUAAGGCACUAAUCCCAUCGUGGUGGCACACGCGCGUGACCUCGGCUAAACCUAAGUACCUUCCAGAGGCCCCUUCUUCAAACCGCACCACAUUGGGACUUAGGGCUUCAAUAUAUGAGUUUUGGGGGGGACACAUUCAGUCCACAGCACCCCUCGUCUUCCCUGCAGACCGUGGGCCCCAGAGCUGUUGACUCCAGUGCAAAGUGAGGCACUGGGUAGGUGCUCAGUAAACACUUGUUGAGCGGGAAGCAGUUGAAUGAGCCCUGGUUUUGUGAAGUCUCUGAGGACUUGGGCUUUCCUUUCUGUCCAGAAGGAGGACUGCGGAACGUACUGAAACCCCGGGGUGCCCAGGAGGAGGAGGAGCUAUGCGGGUCUGGAUCAGCUUUGUGGUGUCUGGUGAAACAACUUCUCUUAAGGAUAAAUAGAGGAAAGAGAUGGAUGUCAGAGAGAGGAAGCCCCAGGUUUGCGUCUUGGUGCUGCCAUGGAGAGGCUGUGCGACCUGGGCAGGUUGGCUGAAGAUUGCAAAUUUACCAGAAACUUUGCUGUUUUUGAAGAUGAGCGGGCUAGAGGAACAGUCAGAAUUAGUGGAGAUUCAACGUAAGUAUUGAAAAGUAAGGAGAAUCUGUAUCUAUUUCAUUAUAAUGUGUAUGCAAGUAUGUGUGUGUAAAUAUGCUUUAUGUCUAUCUUUAUCUGUCUUCUACCUAGCUAUCUAUUUAAUGUAUGCAUGCCGACAAAGUUUGGAAGAAAUGUUUUGCUAAAAGAAAAAUAAUUACAGUAGAGUGGUGGAAUUCAAGUAAUUAGAAAAAUUUUAUUAGUAUUUUAUUAGUGUUUGAAUAAAUUAAUGUUUAAAAAUAAGUAUCA